rnacentral:rRNA from 1 species
UCGGGAAUAUUGCGCAAUGGAGGAAACUCUGACGCAGUGACGCCGCGUAUAGGAAGAAGUUUUUCGGAAUGUAAACUAUUGUCGUUAGGGAAGAGAAAGGACAGUACCUAAGGAGGAAGCUCCGGCUAACUACGUGCCAGCAGCCGCGGUAAUACGUAGGGAGCGAGCGUUAUCCGGAAUUAUUGGGUGUAAAGGGUGCGUAGACGGGAGAACAAGUUAGUUGUGAAAUCCCUCGGCUUAACUGAGGAACUGCAACUAAACUAUUUUUCUUGAGUGCAGGAGAGGUAAGUGGAAUUCCUAGUGUAGCGGUGAAAUGCGUAGAUAUUAGGAGGAACACCAGUGGCGAAGGCGACUUACUGGACUGUAACUGACGUUGAGGCACGAAAGUGUGGGGAGCAAACAGGAUUAGAUACC